UAUUAAAUGAAUUUUUAUUUUCAAAAAAUCUUCCCAUAAAUAAAACUCAGAGCCAGAUAGCUUUACUAAUGAAUUCCAUCAAACAUUUAAGGCAGAAAUAAUGUCAAUAUCAUACUCUCACAAAAUAUAAGGUGUUGGAACAUUUCUCAACUCAUCAUGUUAGCAUAAUUAUGUUUCUAAAACCUCAUAAAGUCAUUACAAGAACAGAAAAUUAUAGACCAGCACUCCUAAGGAAAAAUAAUGUGGAAGCUCUUAAGAAUUGCUAGCACAUAAAACCUGCCAAUAUAUUAAAAGAACAAUAUAUGUCGACCAAAUGAAAUUUAUCCUGAGAUAGCAAGGUUGAUUGUCAUUUUUAAGAAGUCAAUAAGUAUCAUUCACAUUAUCAGAAUAAAGAAGAAAGAUUAUAUGACCAUAUCAACAGAUGCAGAAUAAACAUAAUAAAACUCAGCACCUACUCAUGAUACAGCCUCUGAACAAUCAUAAUCUGAAAAUAAAAAGAAUGAAAUUUCCUUCAUCAGAUCAUGGUGAAGCACAACUUCCUUUACACUUGGAAGGUAACGAUUUCUGCUUGAGUGCAGAGGACCGUAACAUUGAUUCUGCCCAAAGCAGGCUGUGAAGAAUUAACCCCACACCUGGGUUGUUUUGAGAAGUGAGUCUGGUGAAGCCUACGAAGCCUACAAACCUACAUGCUGAGGUCAGAGUAACUUGCACCCAAGUUCUGUUCCCACAACAAAAACCUUUUUACUAGAAGAAUGGUGUUCUAAUUACAACCAUAUAUUUUGUCUAUUCUCUUCCUAAAAUUUCUAUAGAAACUGCACGUAGCUUGCCUUUAUCCCAAUUGAUUGCCAAUAAAAGUCAGUGCCUGGGUUUGUCGGUUGCACUGGCAUUCGUUGCCCUGGCACCCCAUUUUCUCUCCUAGUUCCGUCUUUUAGUUUUAUUUCUCAGGCCUGUGUUCUAUACUGGGCAGGUACUGGAACCUAACUGUAGGGGUCUUCGAUACUUGAGUCUCUUGAACAUCCUUAAGCUAUAAGUCACACUAGGGGAGAAAGAAGAAGGGAGUGAGAGAGGGAGAGAAAAAAGAAGGAAAGGAAGAAGAGAGGGGAGAAAGUGAACCAAAAAAGAUAGAUUGGAAAUGAAGACAUACAAUUUUCAUUAUUUUCAGAUGACAGAAGUGCAUAUAACCAGUGGGAUCUACAAAAUCUAGAAAUUCAAAGUAUAUUUACGGAGGUUGCAAAAUAAAAGAUAAAUAACCAAAAUAUAGUUUUACAAAUAAAAAUAUUUGAAAAAUAAAAAUUUAAAAUACCCUUUAGCAUACAGUAAAAAGUAGGUACUUAAGAAUAAAUCUAG
rnacentral:lncRNA from 1 species